UGUACCCGCGGCAAGACGGAAAGACCCCGUGAACCUUUACUAUAGCUUGACACUGAACAUUGAGCCUUGAUGUGUAGGAUAGGUGGGAGGCUUUGAAGUGUGGACGCCAGUCUGCAUGGAGCCGGCCUUGAAAUACCACCCUUUAAUGUUUGAUGUUCUAACGUUGGCCCCUUAUCGGGGUUGCGGACAGUGUCUGGUGGGUAGUUUGACUGGGGCGGUCUCCUCCUAAAGAGUAACGGAGGAGCACGAAGGUUGGCUAAUCCUGGUCGGACAUCAGGAGGUUAGUGCAAUGGCAUAAGCCAGCUUGACUGCGAGCGUGACGGCGCGAG
rnacentral:rRNA from 1 species